GGUGCUAUAGCUCAGUUGGUAGAGCAAAGGACUGAAAAUCCUUGUGUCCCCGGUUCGAUUCCUGGUGGCACCACAA
rnacentral:tRNA from 1 species